UACGAAGGGGGCUAGCGUUGCUCGGAAUCACUGGGCGUAAAGGGCGCGUAGGCGGGAAUGUAAGUCGGGCGUGAAAUCCCUAGGCUCAACCUAGGAACUGCACUCGAAACUGCGUUUCUUGAGUAUCGGAGAGGAAAGCGGAAUUCCUGGUGUAGAGGUGAAAUUCGUAGAUAUCAGGAGGAACACCAGUGGCGAAGGCGGCUCACUGGCCCGGUACUGACGCUCAUGUGCGAAAGCGUGGGGAGCAAACAGGG
rnacentral:rRNA from 1 species